CCCAUGUUUUGUUAGCCCAAAAAUGGAAAAUGAGUGAGGUCCCAAUCAAAGAAGAAUGGCAACUUAAGCUGACAGAAUAUGCACAACUUGCAGACUUAACAUAAUAAGAGAACAAGAAUAAUAAACGAAGAUUGGAAAACGUUUAUUGAAUAUAUGGG